AAAAAAAAUCUGCUCACUAUUUUUACUGCACACUUUUCUAAUUUGUUAGCAUUGAGAAAGUGUUUAUUUUAUGGAUAAUACUUAUGAGAUGUUUUGGUAGAUAAUUAUAUUGUUUGUUUCAAUCUUUCAAUAGUUUUUAUCUGACUUUUUAUAAAGAAUUCACAAGUUAGUUUACUAAAGUCAGUAAAAUGUUUGAUUUAUUUCUUUAUAGAUGGACGGUGUUAUAGAUGGCUCUUUAUCUGAAUCCAGCAAUGAUCCAGAAAGUGACUACAUGCCGUCAAUGUCUGAUAGUUCAUCCUCAACAGUGGCACCUGGUCAAGAGUCACAAGUCAGUGGAAGUCAGGCUCAAAACUCAGAUGCCUGUUCAAGAUUCUGAUGAAGAACCGGACAUUCUGACUCAAAAGACCUCAACUCCAAGACCAUCAGAUCAGGCCUGCUGAAAAAGACUGAGAAAACAGGGAGCGAUUGACAGUACCCCCAAAAGAAGUUCCAUGGUAGGCCUUGGUGUUGUGAAAAAAAGACGACAGUACGGCGACAGCACAUCACUCUGAAUAGAGUUCCUGGUAAAGAACUUAGUCUCAAGGCUCUUGAUGCAGAACUGAUACUCGCCACUGGAGAGAUGUUAAGAACCAAAUCUACAA